GGAGGGUGCGAGCGUUAAUCGGAAUUACUGGGCGUAAAGCGUGCGUAGGCGGUUCGUUAAGUCAGAUGUGAAAGCCCCGGGCUUAACCUGGGAACUGCAUUUGAAACUGGCGGACUAGAGUUGAGUAGAGGGGAGUGGAAUUUCAGGUGUAGCGGUGAAAUGCGUAGAUAUCUGAAGGAACACCAGUGGCGAAGGCGACUCCCUGGACUCAAACUGACGCUGAGGCGCGAAAGCGUGGGUAGCAAACAGGAUUAGAUACCCUGGUAGUCCACGCCGUAAACGAUGAGUACUAGGUGUUGCGGGUAUUGACCCCUGCAGUGCCGCAGCUAACGCAUUAAGUACUCCGCCUGGGAAGUACGGUCGCAAGACUA
rnacentral:rRNA from 1 species